rnacentral:tRNA from 1 species
GUAGCUCAGAGGAAUAGAGUACGCGGCUACAAACCACAGUGUUGGGGGUUCAAAUCCCUCC